CAAGCGUUAUCCGGAAUUAUUGGGCGUAAAGCGCGCGCAGGCGGUCUCUUAAGUCUGAUGUGAAAGCCCACGGCUCAACCGUGGAGGGUCAUUGGAAACUGGGAGACUUGAGUGCAGGAGAGAAAAGUGGAAUUCCACGUGUAGCGGUGAAAUGCGUAGAGAUGUGGAGGAACACCAGUGGCGAAGGCGGCUUUUUGGCCUGUAACUGACGCUGAGGCGCGAAAGCGUGGGGAGCAAACAGGAUUAGAUACCCUGGUAGUCCACGCCGUAAACGAUGAGUGCUAGGUGUUGGGGGGUUCCACCCUCAGUGCUGAAGUUAACACAUUAAGCACUCCGCCUGGGGAGUACGACCGCAAGGUUGAGACUCAAAGGAAUUGACGGGGGCCCGCACAAGCAGUGGAGCAUGUGGUUUAAUUCGAAGCAACGCGAAGAACCUUACCAGGUCUUGACAUCCUCUGACCACUCUAGAGAUAGAGCUUUCCCCUUCGGGGGACAGAGUGACAGGUGGUGCAUGGUUGUCGUCAGCUCGUGUCGUGAGAUGUUGGGUUAAGUCCCGCAACGAGCGCAACCCUUGACCUUAGUUGCCAGCAUUCAGUUGGGCACUCUAAGGUGACUGCCGGUGACAAACCGGAGGAAGGUGGGGACGACGUCAAAUCAUCAUGCCCCUUAUGACCUGGGCUACACACGUGCUACAAUGGAUGGUACAAAGGGUUGCGAAGCCGCGAGGCCAAGCCAAUCCCAAAAAGCCAUUCUCAGUUCGGAUUGUAGGCUGCAACUCGCCUACAUGAAGCCGGAAUUGCUAGUAAUCGCGGAU
rnacentral:rRNA from 1 species